AGCUUCUGCUCUUAAAUGAGCUAAAAAUUAUUUCUACAUUUUAAAAAAUGGCAUAUUAAUCGAUUUUUGAAUUAAAAGGUGCAAGUUCAAAAAAAAAAUUAAACAAAAAAAGCUCGAAAUAAAAUCACGAGGGCUAAGUCACGGGGUCGACGCUCUUACCCUAAUUAAAAUCUGUGAAUAAAAAAAUAUUUUUUAGAAAAAAAGCUUUUACUUAAAAGAUGCAGAAAAAGUAAAAAAGAAAAAGAAAAAUCCUAAUUUGUAAGCAAAAAUAUUCUUCUCAUAGAAAACCAUUAUUUUUACUUUUUAGUGCAUCUUUUAAAUAAAAACUUUUUUCUAAAAAAACAUUUUAUUUAUUGCUAUUUAAUUUUUACUUAUUCUAAUUUAACCCUUUUAGGGGGUAUUUAACCACAUAGGAUUACAUUGUCACGCAGAUUACGUAAGUAUGCAAAAUUUCAGUUCAUUGGGACAACGGGAAUCCUUUCAAAUUUGGCUCCAAAAAUGUGACACAGACAGACAGACAACAAAGCAAGUUAAAUAAAAGCUUUUAAAAUUAUUUCUUAAAAAAUGCUAGAAAUGGGAUAUUAUCAUCGAUCUGGUAUUUAGCUCGUUUUUUAAACGUUAUGGCUGCUUAAAGUUCUGCAAACUUAACUAAAAAAAUUUUGAGUUUGUUAUUCUUUUUCAGAAAUUUGAAAACACCAAUGAAAAGAUCUAGGCUUCUGCUCUUAAAUGAGCUGAAAAUUAUUUCUAAAUUUUUAAAAUUGGCAGUUAUCGAUUUUUGAAUUAAAAGAUGCAAGUUCAAAAAAAAUAAAAAAGCUCGAAAUAAAAUCACGAGGAUUAAGCCACGGGGUCGACGCUCUUACCCUAAUUAAAAUCUGUGAAUAAAAAAAUAUUUUUUAGAAAAAAAGCUUUUACUUAAAAGAUGCACAAAAAGUAAAAAAGAAAAAGAAAAAUUCUAAUUUGUAAGCAAAAAUAUUCUUUUCAUAGAAAACCAUUAUUUUUACUUUUCAGUGCAUUUUUUGGAUAAAAAUUUUUUUCUAAAAUAGUAAUUUUUGUAUUAAGUGCGCGAAAUGAGUGUUUUUUUAAUGGCGCCUGAGAAUGUUAUUUUAGUCGAGACCGCCAGGUCGAGACCUAAAAGACAUUCGAAGGCGCCAUUAAAACAUGAAUUUCGCCACGAAAUACAAACAACGUUUUUUCUACAGCCUCCAGAUGAAGAAAAAAGUAACAGAAAUUAGUUGGAACAAAAUGGUCUGAUAAAUCGAGUUGCUUGCAUGGUUACGAUGAUAAAUAAAAGUGAUAGUUGCGAAAAAUUUGUCACAAUAGGUAUUUUUGUUGAAGAAGUGUGAUGGAUUUUAGCAGCGAAAACGAAAUAGAUGCAAUUGCAAGCGCGGCAGUGUCGAAUCUUUUGCCUGCUAAAUCAAGACCGCAGUACGAAAAAACGUAUCUUCAGUUUCGGCAGUGGUGUUCUAUGAAAAAGAUUGAUCAAGUAACGGAAAAUGUUUUGUUGGCGUAUUUGGAAGAAAAGUCUACCACCUUAAAGCCACCAACACUCUGGGCCCUUUAUGCGAUGUUGAAAGCCACCUUAAACGUUAAAGAGAAUAUCGAUACACAAAUUUGAAAACACCAAUGGAAAGAUCAAGGCUUCUGCUCUUAAAUGAGCUGAAAAUUAUUUCGAAAAUUUAAAAAAAUGGCAUAGUUAUCGAUUUUUGAAUUAAAAGGUGCAAGUAAAAAAAAAUUAAUAAAAAAAGCCCCGAAAUAAAAUCACGAGGAUUAAGUCACGGGGUCGACGCUCUUACCCUAAUUAAAAUCUGUGAAUAAAAAAAUAUUUUUUAGAAAAAAAGCUUUUACUUAAGAGAUGCACAAAAAGUAAAAUAGAAAAAGAAAAAUUUUAAUUUGUAAGCAAAAAUAUUCUUCUCUCAUAGAAAACCAUUAUUUUUACUUUUUAGUGCAUCUUUUAAAUAAAAACUUUUUUCUAAAAAACAUUUUAUUUAUUGUUUUUUAGUCUUUACUUAUUCUAAUUUAACCCCUCUAGGGGGUAUUUAACCACAUGGGAUUGCAUUGUCACUCAGAUUACGUAAGUAUGCAAAAUUUCAGUUCAUCGGAACAACGGGAACCCUUUCAAAUUUGGCUCCAAAAAUGUGACACAGACAGACAGACAACAAAGCAAGUUAAAUAAAAGCUUUUAAAAUUAUUUCUUAAAAAAUGCUAGAAAUGGUAUAUUAUCAUCGAUCUGGUAUUUAGCUCUUAUUUUAAACGUUAUGGCUGCUUAAAGUUCUGCAAACUUAACUUUAAAAAUUUGAAGUUUGUUAUUAUUUUUCAAAAAUUUGAAAACACCAAUGGAAAGAUCUAGGCUUCUGCUCUUAAAUGAGCUGAAAAUUAUUUCUAAAUUUUUAAAAUUGGCAGUUAUCGAUUUUUGAAUUAAAAGAUGCAAGUUCAAAAAAAAUAAAAAAGCUCGAAAUAAAAUCACGAGGAUUAAGCCACGGGGUCGACGCUCUUACCCUAAUUAAAAUCUGUGAAUAAAAAAAUAUUUUUUAGAAAAAAAGCUUUUACUUAAAAGAUGCACAAAAAGUAAAAAAGAAAAAGAAAAAUUCUAAUUUGUAAGCAAAAAUAUUCUUUUCAUAGAAAACCAUUAUUUUUACUUUUCAGUGCAUUUUUUGGAUAAAAAUUUUUUUCUAAAAUAGUAAUUUUUGUAUUAAGUGCGCGAAAUGAGUGUUUUUUUAAUGGCGCCUGAGAAUGUUAUUUUAGUCGAGACCGCCAGGUCGAGACCUAAAAGACAUUCGAAGGCGCCAUUAAAACAUGAAUUUCGCCACGAAAUACAAACAACGUUUUUUCUACAGCCUCCAGAUGAAGAAAAAAGUAACAGAAAUUAGUUGGAACAAAAUGGUCUGAUAAAUCGAGUUGCUUGCAUGGUUACGAUGAUAAAUAAAAGUGAUAGUUGCGAAAAAUUUGUCACAAUAGGUAUUUUUGUUGAAGAAGUGUGAUGGAUUUUAGCAGCGAAAACGAAAUAGAUGCAAUUGCAAGCGCGGCAGUGUCGAAUCUUUUGCCUGCUAAAUCAAGACCGCAGUACGAAAAAACGUAUCUUCAGUUUCGGCAGUGGUGUUCUAUGAAAAAGAUUGAUCAAGUAACGGAAAAUGUUUUGUUGGCGUAUUUGGAAGAAAAGUCUACCACCUUAAAGCCACCAACACUCUGGGCCCUUUAUGCGAUGUUGAAAGCCACCUUAAACGUUAAAGAGAAUAUCGAUACACAAGCAAGAAGUCGCAAAUUUUAGACAAAGAAGACAUUAGCAAGUUUAUUAAUGAAGCAGAUGACAAGAUAUAUUUACUGAUGAAGGUAAACUUAUCAUAUUAGUGUAAUACAAAUCAAAACAACUCGUUUUAUUUAUAGACUGUGCUAAUUUUGGGUAUAUCGGGAGCCCUUCGACGUGAAGAAUUAGUUAAAAUGAAGCUAACUGACAUAGAAGAUAAACAGUCUGUCUUAAUUGUGAAGGUGCCUGAUACAAAAACCCACUGCGAACGAAUAUUUACUGUUUCAAAUUUAGAAAAUAUAGAAAUUGUCAGAAAAUAUAGAGCUUUGCGGCCUCCACGGGCGACUAGUGACCGUUUAUUUUUAAAGUAUACCAACGGAAAAUGUGUGAAUCAAAAUGUUGGAAUUAACAAAAUCGGAGAGAUACCAAGUUUGAUUGCAAAGUGGCUUAACAAAGACGAACCUAAAAAAUAUACUGGUCACUGCUUCAGAAGAAGCUCUGCCACUCUUUUGGCGAAUGCUGGAGGUGAUCUAAUUUCAAUUAAACGUCAUGGGGGCUGGAGAAGCAGCACAGUGGCAGAAAGUUACAUCGAGGACUCUUUGAAUAAUAAAAUUGAAAUUGCCAAUAAAAUUCAACCUUCUUCCUCCACAGAAGAAAACAAAAUCACUCAACCUUCUACAUCGGCUUCUUUUAAUGGCGAAAAUAACUUUCAUUUACAAGCGUCUUCACUCAGGCCUCUGGGGAUAAACGGGGGCACGUUUUCGUCAUGCACAUUUAAUUUUCAUAUGUCAAAGUAAAUAUCUAUUAUUAUUGUUUUGUAAUAUUGUUCUGUAUAAUUAUAAAACCUUUAAAACUA